AACUAAAUGACCAGGAACCUAAAAA
rnacentral:rasiRNA from 1 species